rnacentral:misc_RNA from 1 species
UCGGGACCGGCACUUCGCAGGGAGUUCCGAUGAUUGGCUGUGAUUGCGACGUCUGCCAUUCGCCGGAUCCGCGCGAUCAGCGGCUGCGCUCCUCGAUCUAUGUCGAAACUCCGGAGUGCGCCUGGGUGGUGGAUACGGGUACGGACUUUCGCACGCAGGCUUUGCGCGAAAACAUUCGCCGCCUGGAUGCGGUUGUCUUCACCCACUCGCACACCGACCACAUCAUGGGGUUCGACGAUCUCCGGCGAUAUUCGCACGAUCUGGGGUCGAUCCCGGUUUACGCCUCCGCGGAAACGAUGCGCGAUCUCGAACGCGUUUAUGAAUUCGCCUUCAACGGUCUUAAUCGCUUUC